rnacentral:lncRNA from 1 species
CCAAUACCACUUUCAUCUACAUCACCACCUUCUGGACCAUUCAGAGGUAAUCUGGGGUCAUCCAAAUCCACAGCCCUGUCUUAAGCCCCCAGUUGUUUGUGGGAUCCUACAGGUAAACAUUAAGAAGUUCUGAGCACUUUCAAAAAUAAUCAUAAUGACUGAUCUUGAAUGAAGACCACAUAGUUGUCAGUCACUGUGUCGGUCUAUCUGUCCUUCCUUCCUUCUCUCUCUCUCAAAAAUAAUUUCUAUUUGGAAUUUAUCCAUUGUUAGCCAAUCUUUCGCUAUGGUUAACUUUUUAGGAUUAGUCUUUGUUUUUAAUUUUAUAAAAGUAUAAUUGAGAAGCACUGAGAAAAGUCUAUGUAUAUAUACAUGUACACAUAUAUAUAAUCAGUGCAAAGGUUGAUGAAUUUUCACAAACUGAACACACCGCUGUAAGCAGCACCCAGAUCAAGAAACAGAACUUCACUACCCCUCAGUCGCUACACUUUCCUAAGGGAAACUCACCACCCUGACUUCUAAAAACACAGAUUAGGUUUACCUUGCUGUUUUCUCAAAAUUCACUGUUUUGCUUUGUUUUGUGAAACGAUACCAGAAUAAAACAAAUACCAAUUAUUUUUAAUUAUAUGGUUAGAAAGAACACGUUUUAAAAAUGGACUAAGGAACAAACAAUAUUACUUGUCCCAAAAGUAUUUUGGCAUUAUGUGAGUAGAUCUUUUAUUAUCGUUUUGCCUUAUGGUCUAUUUUGUGUUUUGUGGUAGAUUUUUUGAGGAAUGAAUGUGGAACAUUAAAUGGGAUAUAUGAGGAUGUAAUGAUGCUGGCUGAAGGCUGAAGAAGAAUAUGUAUUCAUGAUAACUUUUUUAUUGCAUCAAAAUGUACAUACAGCAAAUUCACAGAUAAGUGUGCAAUUUAAUGGAGUUUUGAGUAAUGCAAAUACCCACGUAACCACCACCCCAAUCAAGACUGAUAAUAUUCCUAUCAUCCCAGAAAGUUCCCUCAUGGCCCUUCCAGUUCAUGCCAUGGCAACCACUGUUCUAAUUUUUUUUUUUUUUUGAGGAAGAUUAGCCCUGAGCUAACUACUGCCAAUCCUCUUUUUUCUGAGGAAGGCUGGCCCUGAGCUAACAUCCGUGCCCAUCUUCCUCUACUUCAUAUGUGGGAUGCCUACCACAGCAUAGCAUGCCAUGUGGUGCCACGUCCACACCCAGGAUCCAAACGGGUGAACCCCGGGCCGCUGAGGAGCAGAACGUGUGAACUUAACCGCUGCGCCACUGCCCGGUCCCCCACUGUUCUAAUUUUGAUCACUGUAGAUCAGUCUUCCCUACUCGUGAAUUUCAUACACAUGUAAUCAUAGACUAUGUACCACUUGUACAACACAAUGCUUUUGAGAUUCAUCUACAUUGUUGCGUGUAUCAGUUGUUUAUUCUUUUUUUAAUAUUGAGUAGGACCUCACUGUAUAAAUAUAUACAAUUUAUUUAUUCAUCCUUCUAAUAGACAUCUGAGUUGUGCCCAUUUUUGUGGACAUAUGUCCUCUUUUUCUCUUGAGUAAACACGUAGGAAUGGAAUUUGUUUUGUGAUGAAGUGGUUCCAGGUUUAACUUUUUAAGAAACUUAGUUUCCAAAGUGAGUGUACCAUCUUACACUCCCACCAGCAAUGUAUGAGAGCUGCAGUAGCCCCAGUUGCUCCACAUCCUCUCCAACAAUAGAUAUCAUCAAUCUUUUGAAUUUUGACCAUUCUGAUGGGUGUGAGUGGUACGUCAUUGUGCUUUUGUGUUUCCCUGAUGACUAAUGAUAAGGAGUAACUUUAUAUGCACUUAUUGUCUAUUUGUAUAUCUUCCUUUGUAAAGUGUCUAUUCAAUAUUGUUCUGUUUUUGGCUUUUACUGAGUUGUAGGAAUUCUUUAAACAUUCUGGAUGUAAGUCCUUUGUCAGAUGCAUGUACGUAAAUAUUUCCUGCAGUCGGCGACUUGCCUUUGCAUGCUGUCAGUGCUGACUUUUGCUGAGCAGAGGUUUUUAAUUUUGAAGAAAUCCAAUUUGUCAAUAUAUUUUUUUGCAGUUAGUGUUUUUUGGGUCCUCUCUAAGAAAUUUCUGCCUACCUGAAGUUCAUGAAGAUAUUCUUGUAUGUAUUCUGCUAGCUUUAUAGUUCUAGCUUUUAUGUUUAGGCCUAUAACCUAUCUCAAAUUAAUUUUAAACGUGAUGUGGAGUAGAAGUCAAGGCUCAUUUUUUUCUAUACAUUUUCCUAGUUUUUCCAGUCGAUUUGCUGAAAAAAAUGUUUCUUCUCACUGAAGGGGCCAUUGCCUUCACAUUUUUGUAAAAAAUCGACUGAAUACAUAUAAAUCUAUCUCUGGAUUCUUCAUUAUGACCCACUGAUCUAUUUCUCUAUGAUUCCAUCAAUACCACACCAUCUUGAUUACUAGUUUUUGAUGCGUUUUGAACUCAGGAAAUGUGAGCUCUCCAACUUGGUUGUUUAUUUUCAAGAUUGUUUGGGCUAUUCUAGGUCCUACGCACUUCCAUUUCCAUUUCAGAAACAUCUUGUCAGUUCUACAAAAAAUCUUGUUGCUAUUUGGAUUGAAAUUAUGUUGAAACUAUAAAUGUCCCUAGUUCGAUGUGGAGAGAACUCACAUCUUAACAAUACUGAGUCUCCAAACCACGUACAUAGUUUAUCCAUUUAGAUCUUUAAUUUCUCUUAGCACUGUUUUCUACUUUUUUAUAUACAGGUCUUGCACACUUUUAAAGUUAUUCUUAAGUAUUUUUUGAUGCUAUUUAUCAAUGAAAUAGUUUUUAAAACUUCAUUUCCAACUAUUUGCUGCUAGAAUAAAAAAUAUAAUUUAUUUUAUAUAUUGACUUUGUAUCCUGUGACCUUAUUAAAAGUACUUAUUAGUCCUAAUAUUUUCUUUAAAAAUUUUCACAUAAAUAAUCACGGCAUCCAUAAAUAUAGAGAGGCUUGCUCUUUUUCCCCAAUCUACACAGCAUUUCUGCCUUGUUACACUAGCUGGGAAUUUCAGUACAAUAGUCAAUAGGAAUGGUUAAGAGCAGACAUUCUUGCCUUGUUCCCAAUCUUAGGAGAAAAGCCUUCAAUGUUUCAGGAUAAAUAUGAUGUUAACUAGGAUUUUCAUAUAUGUCCCUUAUAAGAUUGAAAAAGUUGUCUUCUCAUCCAAGUUUGCUAACACUUUUGGUCAUGGACACAAUUUUGGAAUGGACAGUGAAUUUUGUCAGACACUUUUUCUGUAUCUUUUGAAAUGAUCAUAUGCUUUUACCCAUUUAUGUUAAUAUGGUGAAUUAUAUUAGCUGACUUUUAAAUGUCCUACCAUCUUUCCAUUCCUUGGAAAAACUCUACUUAGUAAUGAUGUAUUAUCACAUUAUAACCACUGGGUUCAAUUUGCUAAUAUCAUGCUAGGGAUUUCUGUGUCUGUUUCAUGAGGAAUACUGGUCUGUAGUUUUCUUAUGAUGCCUCUGUCAGGUUUUGGUAUCAGGAUUAUGCUGACUUCCUAAGAUGAUUUGAGAAAUAUUUUCUUUUCAGUUUUCUGAAAGAGUUUGAGUAAGAGUUGUAUUAUUUCUUCCUUCUGUGUUUGACAGUACUCACCAGGAAAGCACUCUGGGCCUAGAAUUUCCUUGCAGGAAGAAUUCAAUAUCAAAUUCAAUUUUGUUAAUAGAUAAUGGACCAUUCAGAGUAUUUCAAGUUGUAUCAGUUUUGUUAUGCUGUGUUUUUCAAGGAAUUUGUCCGCCUCCUAUAAGUGAUGCAAUUUAUUGGCAUAGAGUCUCUCAUAAUAUUCCCUUAUUUUUUGAUGUUUGUAGUCUAUAAUGCUAUCUUCUCUUUCAUUUCUGAUACUGGUAAUUCGUGAGCUUUCUCCCUUUUUUCUUGUUCAGUUCUGCUAGGGAUUUUACAAGAGAUUUACCGAAAUAUAAUUGACAUAUAAUAAACUGCACAUAUUUAAAGUAUACAAUUUGAUGAAUGCUGACAAGUAUACAUGAGUGAAACCAUCACCACAAUCAAGAUAAUGAAUAUUUCCAUCACCCACAAAAGUUUACUCAUGGCUCACUGUAAUUCCUCUCUCCCUCCACCCCUAUCUCCAUGCAACCAUUGAUUUGCUCUCUGGAACUAUAGUUUGCAUUUUCUAGAAGUUUAUAUAGAUAAAUUCAUGUGGUAUAUACCAUAUUAUUUGAUCCGCUUCUUUCACUCAGCAUAAUGAUUUUGAGACUCAUCCAUACUAUUGCAUGUAUCACAAAUUUGUUCUUUUUUGUGGCUGAAUAGCAUGUUCUAAAGAAAUACCAAAAUUUAUUUUUUCAUUCACCUGGUGAUGGACAUUGGAGUUCUUUCCAAUUUUUGCCCAUAAUCAAUAAAACUAAUAUGAACAUUCAUGUAUAAGCCUGUGGAUGGAUAUAUGCUUUCAUUUCUCUACCUAAAGUAGAAAUAUUGGAUUGUAUGGCAUAUUUUUAACUUUUUAAAGAAAUUAUCAAACUGUUUUCCAAAGUAAUUGUACAAUUUUAUAUUUUCAUCAGCAGUGUAUGAGAAUUCCAGUUGCUCCACAUCUUCUCCAACAUUCUAUGGUCAGUUCAAAAAAUUUUAGACAUUCUAAAGGCUUAAAAAAACUAUAAAAUGAUAGUUUUCAAAAAUUAUAUAAUAGUUUUAUCAUAUUGUUUUAAUUUGCAGCUACCUACUGACAAAUGAUGUUGAGCAUCUUUUCAUGUGUUUAUUUGCCAUCUACAUAUCUUCUUCAGUAAAGUGUCUGUUCAAAUCUUUAGGUCAUUUUCAAAUUGGUCAUUUGUCUUCUUAUUAAAGAGUUGUUAGAGGUCUUUAUAUAUUGCAGAUAAAAGUCUUUUGUCAAUUAUAUGUUUUGCAAAUAUUUCCUCCCAGGCUAUGGCUUGCCUUUGCCUUCUCUUAACAGUGUCUUUUGAAAAACACAGCUUUUUAAUUUUGAUAACAUCCACUCAGCAUAAUGCUCUUGUGAUCCAUCCAAGUUGUUGCAUCUAUCAAUAAUAUCCUCCUUUUUAUUGCUGAGUAGUAUUUCAUGGUAUGGAUGUACCACAAUUUAUUUAACCAUUCACCCAGUGAAGUUCAUCUGGGUUGUUUCCUUUUUAUCUGUAAAAUCUGUCUACAGGUUUUUGUGUAAACAAAAGUCUCCAUUUCUCUGGAUGAAUGCCCAACAGUGCAAGUGCUGGGUCAUGCUGCAUGUUUAGUUUCACAAGAAACUGCCAAAUUGUUUUCCAUAGUGGCUACACCAUUUUACAUUCCCCUUAUCAACGUAUGAGUGAUCUGGAUUCUCCACAGCCUUGCCAGCAUUUGAUAUUAUCACUAUUUAUUUCAGCCAUUCUGGUAUAUGUGCAGUGAUAGCUCACUGUGGUUUUAAUUUGCAUUUCCCUAAUGGCUAAUGAUGUUGAACAAUUUUUCAUGUGCUUAUUUGCUUAUCUGUAUAUCCUCUUCAGUGAAAUGUCUGCUCAUGUUUUUUGCCCAUAUUCUAAUUAAAUUGUUUGCUUUUUAUUGUUGAGUUUCAAGAAUUCCUUAUGUAUUCUAGAUACAAGUGAUUUGUUAAAUAUGUAAUUUACAAGUAUUUUCUCACAGUCAGUAGUUUGUCUUUACAUCCUUCUUAAGAGGGUGUUUUGCAGAGGAAAAAAUUUAAAUAUGGAUGAGGUUGAAUUUAUCAAUUUUUCCUUUUAUGGAUCAUGCUUUUUGUACCAACUUUCUUUUGUCUAGCCCUAGAUCCUGAAGAUUUUCUCUUAUGUAGUCUUCUAAAUGUUUAUAGUUUUAUGUCUUAUGUUAAUUUCAUAAUCUGUUUUGAGUUAAUUUUUGCAUGUUUGCUCAGUGUUCUUUUUUUUUUUUUUGCCUAUGGAUAUCUAAUUGCUCCUCCAGCACCAUUUGUUGAAAAGGAUAUCCUUCCUCUGUUGAAUCGCUUUCUCAUCUUUGUAAAAAAUCAGUUGGGCAUAUUUGUGUGGGUCUAUUUCUGGGUUCUCUAUUCUGUUCUAUUUUCCUAUGUAUCUAUCCCUUCACCAAUACCACACUGUCUUAAUUACGGUAGCUCUGGUAAUCCCUCCAAUACCAGUUUUGAUUACUGUAGCUCUAUAGUAAGCCUUAGUGUCAGGUAAAGUAAUUCCUCCCACUUUACUCUUUUUUGUUGUUUUAGCUAUUCCAGGCCUGGUGUCUUUCUACAUAAAUUUUAGAAUAUGGUUAUGUCUAUUAAAAAAAACUUGCGUGGAUUUUGAUAGGAAUUGCAUCAAACAUAUAGAUCAAUUUGGGGUGAAGUGACAUCUUCAUUAUAUUGAAUAUUCCAACACAUGAAUAUGGUAUGUCUCUCCAUUUAGUUAGGUCUUUGAUUUAUUUUCUCAGCAUCUUAUAAUUUUCAGCAUACAGAUCCUGCACAUAUUUUGUUAAGUUUCUACUAAGUAUUUUGUUUUCCUUGGAGUGACUGUAAAUACUAUGGCAUUAAAAAAAUACUUUUUUUUCUCUAGAGCAGUUUUAAGCUUCACAGCAAAGCUGAGAAGGUACAGAGAUUUCCCAUAUAGCCCCUGUCCAAAGGCACAGCCUUCCCCAUCAUCAACAUCAUCCACAAGCAUGAUACAUUUGUUACAAUUUACAAAACUACACUGACACAUCAUUAUCACCUAGAGUCCACAGUUUACAUUAGGGUUCACUGCUAGUGUUAUACAUUCCAUGGGUUUAAACAAAUGUCUAAUAACAUGUAUCCAUCAUUACAGUACUAUAUAGAGUAUUUUCACUGCCUCAAAAUUCUGUCCCACCUAUUCAUCCUCCCUCCCCUCUAACUCCCAGCAAACACUUAUGUUUUUACUGUCUCCACAGUUUUGCCUUCUCUAGAAUGUCAUAUAGUUGAAAUCAUACAGUUAGACUUCGCCUUUUCAGAUUGGCUUUUUACUUAGUAAUAUGCAUUUAAGUUUUCUCCAUGUCUUUUUAUGGCUUGAUAUCUCAUUUCUUUUUAGCUCUGAAUAAUAUUUCAUUGUCUGGAUGUACCACAGUUUACUUAUCCAUUCACUUACUGAAUGACACCUUGGUUGCUUCCAAGUUUGGCAAUGAUGAAUAAAGCUGCUCUAAAAACCUGUGUGCAAGUUUGGUGUGGGCAUAAAUUUUCAACUCCCUUAGGUAAAUAUCAAAGAAUUCAAUCAUUGGAUCAUAUGGUAAGAGUACGUUUAGUUUCGUAAGAAACUGUCAAACUGUUUUCCAAAGUGCCUGGACCAUUUUGCAUUCCCACCAGCAAUGAACAAAAGUUCCUGUCGCUCCACAGCCUCGUUAGCAUUUGGUGUGGUCAGUGUUCUGGAUUUUGGCCAUUCUAAUAGGUGUGAAGUAGUAUCUCCUGGUUUUAAUUUGCACUUCCCAGAUGAUAUAAUGUGGAGCAUAUUUUUACACAUUUAUUUGUCAUCUGUAUAUCUGUGGUGAGGUGUCUGUUAAGGUCUUUGGCCCAUUUUUUAAUAAGGUUGUUUGUCUUCUUAUUGUUGAGUUUUAAGAGUUCCUUGCAUAUUUUGGAGAACUGUCCUUUAUCAGAUAUGCCUUUUGCAUAUAUUUUCUCCCAGCCUGUGGCUUGUCUUUUCACUCUCUUGACAGUGACUUUCACAAAGCAGAAGUGUUUAAUUUUAGUGAAUUAGAGUUUGUAAAUUCUUUUCAUGGAUUGUGCCUUUGGUGAACUUCACGUGUUCUUCUCUUUCCCCACCCCGCAACUUAGGUGGGACAGGAUGCUAUUGUGGGCUGGAGUUGGGUAUUUCCCUUCCCCGGGGUCAGUUAGGCUGUGGUUAACUAGUUCUUCAGAGGGCAUGCCUUAUUAAGAAGAACAGAAUGCUCUGUCUUAUUUCAAAAUAGUUCCUUUUCCCUACCCCUGCCAGGAGGUCAAGAGGAAUUUUCUUCAACAUUCACUAUGAGGACCCAGUUGACCUCCUGAAGGGAGGAAACCGGACUGGGCCGUCGUCCAUCCACAGGAGGAAACAGCGCCUUCCUCGCGGGCCCAUGGCAGCGCCGUGCGCUCCAGGCCCUUCCCACCCGAGGCGUCCUACCCGCGGGGCGCACUGCUCGGUUUCGGAAAAACUCAAAAAAAAAAAAAAAAAACCCCUUUGCAGGAAUGUGUCUCUGGUCAAGAAUGUGGAGGCAUCCAGCAAGCACACAGGCUGUUACACAAACACGGAGACCCAGGAUCAGCUGGUCCAAAUGCCCAUCCACACCAGGACAGAUCUCGUGUAGGUGUCCCCUCCUUGCUGGAGUGGCCAGGUGCAACUGAUACAGGCUGGGGCUCCAGUGUGCAGCAAAGGAGCACUUUCCCUGUUUAGGAAACACUUUCAUAGGUCCCUGGUGUCCCCAUGCAAAGUGACUUGCUAAUUGGCCCCAGCUAUGAAAGUGGCAGUCAGGAUUUGAACCCACUUCUGCUGACCCAAAGCCUGUGAGUGGCACACUCAGCUAUCUGGCCUCUUGGGUCACAGGAGGCCAGAGAGGUCCAGGACCCAUCCAUUUUACAGAUGAGGAAACUGAGGCCCAGAGCCUGGAGCCAUACACAUAGCUCCCUGGGGUAUUUGGCCUAUGAUGAUCUCCCCUCAAAGUGGCUGCAUCUCUCUGUCUGGCCAUCCCCGGUCUCGUGCAUCUAUUGACUCACCUCCCUUCAUCAACCAACACACACACGUGCUGAUUACCUGCCGGGGCCCUGCACUGUGGGGAGGGGCUCCAAGGUCAGAGCACUUGGGAUGUAAAGAGAGCAUGGGCUGCCUGGGGGGAGUCCCACCCCCUCCCCAACACACGCAUUGUCCUCCACACCCCUGGAUGGGAAUAAGAUAAUUUGCCUUGCACGAGGCAAAUUGCUUAUGAAAUGUUACCUAUUCUAGUGGUUGCUAAUAACAUCCCUAUGGUUGGUACAAGAAAGUGAGCAUUGAGGGGGCCUGGGGGAUCUUUUUGGCAUGCAUGCCUCACUCAGCCCAGUCACCUUGGGUGCCAGGGACACAGCACACCUCCAGCCUCCCACAGGGCCGGUCUGGCUCCCCCUCCGAGGCUGCUGGAAAUUGCCCUGGCCAGAAACUGGGUUGGGAGUGCAGCAGGCUGGGAAGGCAUCCCCACAAAAGGAAUGAGCUUUUCAGGGGCACUUAAUAAAUCCUGGAUGAGGAAGCUGGUUUCAGGCCAUCGCCACACUGAACCAAGCGUGCUCAUGGAUGCCACAGAAAUCUACCCAACCCGUUGAAGAAAGGAAGACUCUCAGACAUUAAAAAGAGAUCUACAGUUACGGAGUUAGCAGAAACUUCCUAAAUUGAUUCAGGAGGAGGGGGAAGGAGUCCGAACCAGGUGGAAUUUCUCACACAGCCAACAGGAAUCCACAGUUUCGGCUCAAGGCCACCUCAUGUUCUAAUUGUGCUAAUGGUGAAUGUGAACCAGGCCUCUGAGCUUUUCAAUUUGGGGAUUUUGUUUUCCUUUCUGAAGAAUGCCCCUUGGACUCAUCCCAAGAGCUCUCAGGACCACAGUGGGGACUGAAGUAAAGCAAAAACGGCCCAGUAGUUGGAAGUUAGUAAGAACUCAUUCCACUCCUUGAGGGAGCACUACCUUCCUGGAUAUUCUCACCCUCACAUCCCUGUCGCCCUCCCCCCAAGAUGCUGCUGCCAUAGAAGAGAGAAACCCCAAGCCGUCAGCGGGGAGGGCAGGCCUGGGCUUUGGGGACCUGGCUGGCUGUAGGAGGGCAUGAAGGCAGCCCCCUUCCCUCCUAAGCCCUAUUCACAGCUGUGCACAAGGACCCCCACCUGGGCCAGCAUUCUCUAGGAGCUGAGCCUGGCUCAGGGGUGCGGGGCUGAUGACAAUAUCUCAGAUGUGCGUGGGGUCUGGUACUUUUCCAAAGGCUUUCAAAUGCAUUAUCUUGUUGGAGGCUCAUUUGAGGCAAGAACUCAGCAGACUGGAAAACAACUAAUUUACUGAAUCCUGAAUGGAGAGGAAGCCGAAUGCAGCGUGUGUUUUUGCUGAAUCUCAAACCAAAACAACCUUUUGUUAAAGAACAAACAAAUAAACAAAAAUGCUGAACGUCAGUUCACCAGGGAACACAGUCUGAACAGAGGCUCUGGGCAGGGAAAUAUGCAGCAAAUUCAAAUUCAACAAACGUGUAUUGGGAGAGGGGCCUGCUGGAGUCACAGAUGUGCUCAUGAGGGGCCCCUAAGAGCUUUUAAGGGGCAUUCCAGCAUGCAUCAGGAGACAAGGUUGAUCUUUCCACAGAGCAAAAACACUGAGCCAUGGGAGGUGCUGCUGGGAGCUGGCUGGGGAGGGGGCCCUCCAGUUUCUUCCUCCUGCUGGAGACUGGCUUCCUGGAGCCCAGCUUUGAGGGUGUAGAAGCCAGGGAUUGGAUGGGCAUCUCAGAGAGAAGCUGGCAAGAGCUGCCUAUUGCAAGGCCAUUAAGCAAGCUAAUGAGCCAUGAAGCCUCCCAGCCUUUCCGGCUGCCAGCCGUGCCUCCCCUCGGCUCAGAGAGCCCAUGCCCACCGACCGCCUUGUGACCGCUGUUAUUGUUACCUAACGUGUCGGGCCACGG